rnacentral:rRNA from 1 species
UACGUAGGGCGCAAGCGUUGUCCGGAAUUAUUGGGCGUAAAGAGCUCGUAGGCGGUUUGUCACGUCGGCUGUGAAAACCCGAGGCUCAACCUCGGGCCUGCAGUCGAUACGGGCAAACUAGAGUACUGCAGGGGAGACUGGAAUUCCUGGUGUAGCGGUGAAAUGCGCAGAUAUCAGGAGGAACACCGGUGGCGAAGGCGGCUCUCUGGGACGGUACUGACGCUGAGACGCGAAAGCGUGGGGAGCGAACAGG